UCCUUUGUGCUAGGCAGGGUUUCAGUUUUGCACAGAGGUUCCAAUUCCAGGGCCAACUGGCCAACGCUAAAACUUGGAAUGGUGCUUACAUUUCAGGAACUUUAGUGGCUGCGGCCUCAGAGAGUCUCUGGUAUUGGCCACAACUCUGUCCCUUUGUUUUGUAACUUUUAUCCCUUUGUCCUGCUAGAGAAAGACCAGGCUCCCUGCAUCUGGGGUAGGGCAGUAAGUACCUCUGUGUUCUGACGUCUGCACCUCCGUAUUUGUAGGAAAAAUAAUUCCAGGAUUAAUGAAACGUAGGUCGGCCCCUUGUGUUCCCCUCUCCUCCCACCGUUAUUAGGCUCUAGCGCUCCGAGCCCGGCCUGGCAAACGUGCCGAUGCGAUGCUACAGGAUCCUCGCUCCUGAGAACACAUCUGCAUCCCCGUCCCCGGGAAAUCCGGACACCCCGCAAAACCAUCCAUGUCUGCUGCAAGCCCAAGUGAUAAGGCAAUUGAUCCACCCUCUCGCCAGAUUAAUUAUCCUGGCUUCCCGGUGAUUAAACCGAAAACUUACUGCCUCCUAUUAAACAGGCAGGAACGAUUUUAAGAAGGAAACAAGAAAAGAUUUCACAGCCAUCUAAACAAGAUUUCUUUAGGGGGAAACCAAGGGGAAGACUUUAGGCAAAUCUAUACCCUCCUGCAGCAGGGUUUCAGCAACCACCCACCCCCUGACUCCCACCCCUUAGGGACGACCGGCCGUCAUGCAGGGAUAGUAUUAAAUAAUUAAAAGAUGCAAAUUCUUAAUAGCAGCGUGAUGGCCCGUGCAAUUCCUGCUGCAUUGCCGGCAAAAGCAACAGGGCUUCUUCUAGCAUCUACAAAACCUUUCACCCGGGAGAGAGAGGCGCGUGCAGCCCCCGGCGAAAGCUGGGCCUUGGCAAGAAAGGGACAGGGAUGCCGGACCCGCAGGCGCCCCCCCCCCACCCCACUUUCUCUGGGGACUCUGCUUCCUGGCGCGAGGCGGGCCGAGGCGGGCCCUUCUGCAGCUCCGCCGGGUAGGGGCCAGGGGGUUGGGGGGAAGGAACCUCGCCUGCCCGCCCUCCCCAUCCGGCCGGCUUCUCCGCGCUUCCCACCGCCCGGCUCGCGUUGCGGGGCAAAGCGCAAGGAGGGAGGCCGAGCGUGCCGGGAACCGGAGAAGCUAGGCGCGCUCCGAAAGGAGGCGCAGGUUUCGGGGGAGGUUUGGUUCGCAAAGUUAACGUUGACCCUGGCAGCUUUCCUGCCGAGCGCUAGCCAGAGCCGAGCCCGAGCCUGAGCCGCUCACAGACCUGCCCCUGCUCUCAGGGGAAGCCCACGGGCGGACGCCGGAGCCCCCGGGGAGACUCUGGCUGGAGGGCUGGAGCGCGCACCGCAGUCGGCGGCCGCAAACCCACGCGAUUAAAGUGCGGGGAAAAGCCUCCCCGAGCUUGCUUCCUUCUGUUUCCCGGGGCUUCCCCGGCAGUCUCGACUGGAAGCACUAAGCCCCGGGGAGCGAUCGGCUGGGAUCCAGGAGGCAGGGGUGGACAAAAUUGCACAUGGUGGGCGGUGGUAUCUAGGGAAAUGUCGGCUGAAGGUCCUCCAGGGCCAUUGUAGAGUAACUUCACUUUGAAAGAACACGAUGUGAUGUAAGACCCCUUCUCUAUCUUUCUGUCAAGCACCUUUGUGAUCCUGAGAGUCACCAUGUUUAUAUCAGGACAGGCUAUCUAAUGCUGCAGUCACAAAUUAACCAGAAAAUAUCAGAAACUUAACAUGUUAAAGUGUAUUCUUACUCACAAAUCCACUGCUUGGAAGACUCUCCAGAGAAGAUAUCCUCAUUGCAGUAACAACUCAAGAUGCUCUGGCUUCAGCUGUACCACUGAAAUGUUUAUGUCCAUGUAGUAAGCAAAGAGAGAAGGUCUGGAGGAUUGUGCAUUGGCUUUGAAAUCUUUGCCAAAUCCCUUGGUCAGACAGAAUUCAUCACGUGGCCUUACUUCUUUCAAGGGGCUGAGAAAUGUGAAGUAGGACAUAGGCAUUUGGAGAAGAGCGAAGGUCUCUGCUGCAGUCAGGUUCGGAGAAUCAUUUACCUCUAUGUUUCUUUUCUUUCCUGGAAGUUCGUGGAUCCAAUAUGUUACAGAGAGAUUUAACCUUCUGUUUUUAUGGGAAGUGAUCUACUGUGACAACUCUGCCCCACCAUAUAAUGCUUUUCCUUGUUUUCUCUUUGACCAGCAUGCUGAAACGUUUGCAUGAAAAGCAUGAAGCCAUAAUAUUGAGGUUGAUUCGAUGGUUCUGCUAUCACUUCUCUUAGUUGCUUUUUCAAUUCCUUUGAGUUAACAUCCUGUAAGUUGGUCCCAGCCAGAAGGCUUUGCAUUCCCACCUGAACUUGCUGCCAGCUGGGUGCCAACCUCAUGCCUGCUGGUGUGGUGUGCGGGAAGGCAGAAGUUUUAAGGUUCUAGCUGCAGUGGUUAUGAGCCCAUUCUGGAGUCAGAUUGUCUGGCUUCAGAUCCAAGCUCCAUCAUUUACUAGGUAUACUAGCUUGGUAAGUGACUUAACCUCUCUGAACCUAAUUUCCUGUUGAGCACAAUAGAGGUAAUUAUAGUCUCUACCUCAUGGGGCUGUCAUAAGUAUUAAAAAUGAUAAUCCACGUAAGUGCUUAGCACAGGGUCUCGCAUAUGGAGAGCAACCGAUAUACUUCGUCUGCUUUUUAUAAUGGGAUGUCUUUGAGACUGCUGAUCUGCCAAUACCUAAUAAAAAGAAACUCCUCUCUCUGCCUUGCCUUACCCAGAGUAAUGGAUUUCACCAUUAUAUGCUGAGAAAGAAGCUUUUUUUUCUGUGCCUUCAAAUCAAUCAAUUUCAAUUCAUUUCCCCACCUUCUUGUAAAGCCAGCUUUGACCCCAUCUUUCAACUCUAAACGAUGAUUUUAUGAAAGUUAAAAUGAAAUUAG